UACGAGGGGGCAAGCGUUAUUCGGAAUCAUUGGGCGUAAAGGGCGCGUAGGCGGCUUUCUAUAAGUCUUGGGAUGAAACGCCCUCGGCUCAACCGAGGAAUUGCCUUGGAUACUGUGAAGCGUACGAGGCUGGAAGAUGGGCAGGUGGAAUUCCCGGGUGAUAGCGGUGGAAAUGACGUAGAUAUCGGGAGGAACGAACCAGUCGGCGGAAGGCGGAGCUGGCCUGG
rnacentral:rRNA from 1 species